GGUUGUUCUUAGUUGGGUGAAACGAUUUGUCUAGUUAAUUCCGAUAAUAAAUAAACUUUAACUUGUUAAAUAGUAGACUGAUCCUCCGUGCUCGUUUACAGCGCGGAUUCUUUAUGAAGUAGUGUGGUCGUGAUCCGGUGGGUAAGAUGCCGGUUUUUACUUGUUAGAGGGACAAGAAGCACAUCCAUGUUCCACGAAAUUGAGCAAUAACAUGUCUGU
rnacentral:ncRNA from 1 species